UACGGGGGGGGGAAGCGUUGUUCGGAAUUACUGGGCGUAAAGGGCUCGUAGGCGGCCAACUAAGUCAUACGUGAAAUCCCUCAGCUUAACUGGGGAACUGCGUGUGAUACUGGAUGGCUUGGAUGUGGGAGAGGGAUGCGGAAUUCCAGGUGUAGCGGUGAAAUGCGUAGAUAUUCGGAAGAACACCAGUGGCGAAGGCGGCUCACUGGACUGGUAUUGACGCUGAGGUGCGAAAGCGUGGGGAGCAAACAGG
rnacentral:rRNA from 1 species